UACGAAGGGGGCUAGCGUUGCUCGGAAUCACUGGGCGUAAAGCGCACGUAGGCGGCUUACUAAGUCAGGGGUGAAAUCCUGGAGCUCAACUCCAGAACUGCCUUUGAUACUGGUGAGCUCGAGUCCGGGAGAGGUGAGUGGAACUGCGAGUGUAGAGGUGAAAUUCGUAGACAUUCGCAAGAACACCAGUGGCGAAGGCGGCUCACUGGCCCGGUACUGACGCUGAGGUGCGAAAGCGUGGGGAGCAAACAGG
rnacentral:rRNA from 1 species